rnacentral:rRNA from 1 species
UACGUAGGGUGCGAGCGUUGUCCGGAAUUACUGGGCGUAAAGCGCUCGUAGGUGGUUUGUCGCGUUGUUCGUGAAAACUCACAGCUUAACUGUGGGCGUGCGGGCGAUACGGGCAGACUGGAGUACUGCAGGGGAGACUGGAAUUCCUGGUGUAGCGGUGGAAUGCGCAGAUAUCAGGAGGAACACCGGUGGCGAAGGCGGGUCUCUGGGCAGUAACUGACGCUGAGGAGCGAAAGCGUGGGGAGCAAACAGG